rnacentral:rRNA from 1 species
GACGAACGCUGGCGGCGUGCCUAACACAUGCAAGUCGAGCGGAGUUGUAUCGGAAGCUUGCUUUCGAUAUAAUUUAGCGGCGGACGGGUGAGUAACGCGUGGGCAACCUGCCUCGUACUGGGGGAUAACACUGGGAAACUAGUGCUAAUACCGCAUAACAAAGCAUUACCGCAUGGUAGAGCUUUCAAAGGAGCAAUCCGGUAUGAGAUGGGCCCGCGUCCGAUUAGCUAGUUGGUGGGGUAAAGGCCUACCAAGGCGACGAUCGGUAGCCGAACUGAGAGGUUGAGCGGCCACGUUGGGACUGAGUCACGGCCCAGACUCCUACGGGAGGCAGCAGUGGGGAAUAUUGCGCAAUGGGGGAAACCCUGACGCAGCAACGCCGCGUGAAGGAUGAAGGUCUUCGGAUUGUAAACUUCUUUGAUUGGGGACGAAUAAUGACGGUACCCAAAAAACAAGCCACGGCUAACUACGUGCCAGCAGCCGCAGUAACAC